ACUUUUAACAACAGAUCUCUUAGUUCUAGCAUUAAUAAAGAACGCAGCGAAAUGCGAUAAGUAGUGUAAAUUGUAGAAUUUAGUAAAUUAUUAAAUCUUUAAACGCAUAUUGCGCCCCUUAGUAUUCUAUAGGGCAUGCCUAUUUAAGCGUUAUUUGUACCCUUAAGCUCUGCUUAGUGUUAGGUGUUUGUUCUACUUAUGACUUGCCUUGAAAUAAUUAGCAGCUAGCACAUUGGCCUAGAGCGCAGCACAUUUUGCGCCUCUUGUUAUAGUUAUUAGUAUCUAUUAAGACACUUUUUAAGCUCUUAACCUUAGAUUAGGUAGGGAUACCUGCUAAACUUAAGCAUAUUAAUAAGCGGAGGAAAAGAAACUAACAGGGAUUGCCCUAGUAACAGCAAGUAAAGCGGCAACAGCUUAAAUUUAAAAUCUGGCUCUUUUAGGGUCCAAGUUGUAAUUUAUAGAGGGCGCUUUGGCGUUAGCAGCAGUCUAAGUUCCUUAGAACAGGACGUUAUAGAGGGUAAGAAUCCCGUACAUAGUCGCUGGCCUUUGCCGUGUAAAGCCCCUUUAACAAGUUAAGUUGUUUAGGAAUAUAGCUCUAAAUAGGAGGUAAAUUUCUUCUAAAGCUAAAUACUAGCUAGAGACUAAUAGCGCACAAGUAGAGUAAUUAAAAGAUAAAAAGCACUUUAGAAAGAGAGUUAAAUAGCACGUAAAAUUGUUAAAAGGGAAGCGCUUGCAGCUAGACUUGCCUGUAGUUGCUUAUCUAGGCUUUUGUCUAGUGCACUCUUCUAUAGGCAGGCUAGUAUUAGUUUAGGCAGUUAGAUAAAGGUCUCUGUUACGUACCUCUCUUUAGGGAGGCCUUAUAGGGGAGACGACAUACAACUAGCCUAGACUAAGGUCUGCGCAUCUGCUAGGAUGCUAGCAUAAUAGCUAUAAGCGGCCCGUCUUAAAACAUAGACUAAGAAGUCUAAUAUCUAUACAAGUGUUUAGGUGUUAAGCCUAGACGCGUAAUAAAAGUAAACAGAGGUAGGAACCCUUUUAGGGUGCACUAUUAACUAAUCCUAAUAUCUUUAGAAGGAUUUAAGUAAGAGUAUAGCUAUUAGGACCUAAAAGAUAGUAAACUAUGCUUAAAUAGGGUAAAGCUAGAGGAAACUCUAGUAAAGGCUCGCAGCAGUUCUAACGUGCAAAUUAAUCGUUAAAUUUAGGUAUAGGGGCGAAAGACUAAUCAAACUAUCUAGUAGCUAGUUCCUACUAAAGUUUCCCUCAGGAUAGCAGUAACGUAUUUAGUUUUAUAAGGUAAAGCAAAUAAUUAGAGGCCUAGGGGUUAAAAUAACCUUUACCUAUUCUUAAACUUUAAAUAUGUAAGAAGUCCUUAUUACUUAAUUAAACGUGGACACUUAAAUAUACUAUUACUAGUAGGCUAUUUUUAGUAAGCAGAACUAGCGAUAUAGGAUAAACUAAACAUAGGGUUAAGGUGCUAGAAUGCACGCUUAUUAGACACCAUAAAAGGUGUUAGUUUAUCUAGAUAGCAGGAUAGUAGCUAUAGAAGUUAGAAUCUACUAAGGAGUGUAUAACAACUCACCUACUAAAUAAACUAGCCCUAAAAAUAGAUGGCGCUUAAGCGUGUUACCUAUACCCCGCCGCUAGGGCAAGAUUUAAGCCCUAGCAAGUAGGCAGGCGUAGAGGCUCGUGACAAAGCCUUAGGGGUAACCCUAGGUAGAACGGCCUCUAGUGCAGAUCUUAGUAGUAGUAGUAAAUACUUAAAUAAGAACUUUAAGGACUAAAGUAGGGAAAGGUUCUGUGUAAACAGCAGUUAGACACAGGUUAGUUAAUCCUAAGAGAUAGGGUAAUUCUGUUUUAAUAUUAGUGCUUACGCCGCGCCCUUAAAAGGGAAGCUAGUUAAUAUUCUAGCACCUAGAUGUAGAUUCUCCGCGGCAACGCAACUAAGAGUAGAGACCUUAGCAGGAGCCCUAAGAAGAGUUCUCUUUUCUUCUUAACAGUCUGUCACCCUAAAAUUAGUUUAUCUAGAGCUAGGGUUUAAUAGCUAGAAGAGCGCUGCACUUUUGUAGCAUGUAGUGCGCUCCUAACAAGCCUUAAAAAUCUGCUUAAAGAAAUAGUUUUUACGCUAGGUUGUACUUAUAACUAUAGUAGGUCUCUAAGGUAAAAAGCCUCUAGUUAAUAGAACAAUGUAGAUAAGGGAAGUUAGCAAAAUAGAUCUGUAACUUUGGGAAAAGGAUUAGCUCUAAGGGUUAGGUACGUUAGGCCUUAGGGAGAAGCCUCUAGCGUAGAAGGGCACUAACCACAAGGUAGGCGCCUCUUAGCGCUAGGGUGCAGACACCCUUAGUAGGUUUUAGCUGUCUAGCGUACGUUUAACAACCAACUUAGAACUAGUAUAGAUAAGGGGAAUCUAACUAUCUAAUUAAAACAUAGCAUUACAAUAGCUAGAAAGUAGUGUUAAUGUAAUAUAAUUUCUGCCUAGUGCUCUAAAUAUUAAAGCAAAGAGAUUUAACUAAGCGCGGGUAAACAGCAGGAGUAACUAUAACUCUCUUAAGGUAGCUAAAUGCCUUGUUAUCUAAUUAGUAACGCGCAUAAAUAGAUUAACAAGAUUCCUACUAUCCCUAUCUACUAUCUAGCGAAACUAUAGCUAAGGGAACAGGCUUAGCUAAAUUAGCGGGGAAAGAAGACCCUAUUAAGCUUAACUCUAGUUUAACAUUAUGAAAAGAUAUAGGGGGUAUAGAAUAGGUAGGAGCUUUAGCGCUAGUAAAAUACUACUACCCUUAUCAUUUUUUUACUUAUUUAAUAAAGCAGAGCUAGGCCUUACUACCUAACUUCUAGCGUUUAAGGUCCUUCGUGGGCUAAUCUAGGUUAAAGAUAUUAUUAGGUAGGGAGUUUAGCUAGGGCAGCACAUCUAUUAAACUAUAACGCAGGUGUCCUAAGGGGGACUUAUAGAGAACAGAAAUCUCUAGUAGAGCAAAAGGGCAAAAGUCCCCUUAAUUUUGAUUUUUAGUGUGAAUACAAACCAUAAAAGUGUAGCCUAUUAAUCCUUUAGUCCCUUAAAAUUUAAGGCUAGAGGUGCUAGAAAAGUUACCACAGGGAUAACUAGCUUGUGGCAGCUAAGCGUUCAUAGCAACGUUGCUUUUUAAUUCUUUAAUAUUAGCUCUUCCUAUUAUACUAAAGCAGAAUUUAGUAAGCGUUAGAUUGUUUACCCACUAAUAGGGAACGUGAGCUAGGUUUAGACCGUCGUAAGACAGGUUAGUUUUACCCUACUAAUAACCUUGCCCUAAUAGUAAUACCGCUUAGUACAAGAGGAACCGCGGUUUUAGAUAAUUAGUUUUUGCAGCUAUCUAACUAGGCAUUACCGCGAAGCUACCAUCUGCUAGAUUAUAGCUAAAUGCCUCUAAGUCAGAAUCUAUGCUAGAACAGGGUAAUUUCCGCCUACACUAGUUAGAUACAAAUAGGCCUUUGGCCCAGAACCUUACUAGAUUGGCGUUAGUAGCCCUAUUAAAGUUAGGGUUGUUAGCUAGUGUAUUGCAAUUAUAUAGUGCGCAGGAUUAAAUCCUUUAUAGAUAACUUAGUUGUCUAGCUAGGUCGUGUAAGUAGUUAAGUAGCCUUGUUAUUACGAGCUACUAAGCGUAAGCCCGUUGCUAGCUUAGUUAAAAUUAGGAUAUUAUGCCCUCCUUAUUUGCAAAACUACUGCCUAAAUAGCUACUAUUAAUAGAAGGAAGAGGGCCAUAGCAAACAAGUUAUAUAGUAAUUGCAAGAUAGAGAGGGCUAGAGCUAGGAGCAAUCCUCGCAAAAUAUACAAAAGAACAGGUUGUGUGUGUACGUACCUUAGGCAGUUAAUAUAUAGCAUAGGAAGAUUAAGAAAGGAUUUAAGAUAAUCUAUAUAGAUUUUUAGGCAGUAAUCUAUAACUUAAGAGCGUUCUAUAACUUUUUAUUUUUUAGGGGUAGUGUUCUAUAACUCUAGGGCGUUCUAUAACUUUAGGGCGUUCUAUAACUUUAGGGCGUUCUAUAACUUUUUAUUUUUUAGGGGUAGUGUUCUAUAACUUUAGGGCGUUCUAUAACUUUUUAUUUUUUAGGGGUAGUAUUCUAUAACUUUAGGGCGUUCUAUAACUUUAGGGCGUUCUAUAACUUUAGGGCGUUCUAUAACUUUUUAUUUUUUAGGGGUAGUGUUCUAUAACUUUAGGGCUUUCUAUAACUUUAGGGCGUUCUAUAACUUUAGGGCGUUCUACAACUUUUUAUUUUUUAGGGGUAGUGUUCUAUAACUUUAGGGCGUUCUAUAACUUUAGGGCGUUCUAUAACUUUAGGGCGUUCUAUAACUUUUUAUUUUUUAGGGGUAGUGUUCUAUAACUUUAGGGCGUUCUAUAACUUUUUCUUUUUUAGAGGUAGUGUUCUAUAACUUUAGGGCGUUCUAUAACUUUUUAUUUUUUAGAGGUAGUAUUCUAUAACUUUAGGGCGUUCUAUAACUUUUUAUUUUUUAGAGGUAGUGUUCUAUAACUUUAGGGCGUUCUAUAACUUUAGGGCGUUCUAUAACUUUUUAUUUUUUAGGGGUAGUGUUCUAUAACUUUAGGGCGUUCUAUAACUUUUUCUUUUUUAGAGGUAGUGUUCUAUAACUUUUAGGCGUUCUAUAACUUUUUAUUUUUUAGGGGUAGUGUUCUAUAACUUUAGGGCGUUCUAUAACUUUAGGGCGUUCUAUAACUUUAGGGCGUUCUACAACUUUUUAUUUUUUAGGGGUAGUGUUCUAUAACUUUAGGGCGUUCUAUAACUUUAGGGCGUUCUAUAACUUUAGGGCGUUCUACAACUUUUUAUUUUUUAGGGGUAGUGUUUUAUAACUUUAGGGCGUUCUAUAACUUUUUCUUUUUUAGAGGUAGUAUUCUAUAACUUUAGGGCGUUCUAUAACUUUUUCUUUUUUAGAGGUAGUGUUCUAUAAUAUUAGAGUGUUCUAUAACUUUUUAUUUUUUAGGGUUAGUAUUCUAUAAUAUUAGAGUGUUCUAUAACUUUUUCUUUUUUAGAUGUAGUGUUCUAUAAUAUUAGAGUGUUCUAUAACUUUUUCUUUUUUAGAGGUAGUGUUCUAUAACUUUAGGGCGUUCUACAACUUUUUAUUUUUAGGGGUAGCGUUCUAUAACUUUAGGGCGUUCUAUAACUUUAGGGCCUUCUAUAAGCUUAGGGCGUUCUAUAACUUUAGGGUGUUCUAUAACUUUAGGGCGUUCUAUAACUUUUUAUUUUUUAGGGUUAGUGUUCUAUAACUUUAGCGCGUUCUAUACCUUUUAUUUAUUCUAUUACUUUAGUCCUUUCUAUAACUUUAGACUAUUCUAUACUAGUAGCUAUUAUAUCCUUUUUAUAAUACUUAUUAUAUCAUACUAUUAUCUAUUAUUCUUUACUAUUAAGUAUAUCCUUAUAUUUUAUAAAACCUUUUCUCUACUAGCUAGUCCUACUAUACUUUCUUUUAUAACCUACUAGUAUUAAAUAAUACCUUUAUAUUCUUCUUUUAUACUAUCUCUAUUUCUUGCCUUAUCUAUUAAGUAGAUAUAGAUAGAGCUAAUAGAUCUAUAGUUAAUAUAGAUACAGUAGUUAUAGUAGAGUACAGAUAUUAGAGUAGAUAUCCUUAUCUAUAUAUUUACCUACUACUAAUAAAAUUCCAAGUUACUCUUAUCCAGCGAAUAUAGGUUUAUGGUUUAUAUAGGGCUGCGCAUGUCUACACAGUUUUACAUACAAAAAAGUGUACCUCUAAGCUGUUUUCCGCCGCACUAACCCUGCGACGCGAAAAUCAAACCAAAACCCGUUCCUAUAAUAUAUAAGGAGGGCAAAUAGAUUCUUAAAUACUAAAUACCUAACUAACUAACUAAGGUUAAAUCUACUGCGCGCAGUUCUUGGAUUAGGUGGUUAAACUAGCGUCGUUAGGCACUAAGGGGGCAAUUUUUGCUCGUGUCCGCGUCUAUACUCCCUACAACUCCCUGUUGUUAGCGCUCUGCGCCUGUUUUAGCGGCAGUUAGACUAAAUUUGAAAGUUUUAGUUUCAUAAUAGCUAGCCUUGUUUCCUAGAUUUCUGCCUGGUUUGGAUUUGCUCCAAUUAGUAGGUAAUUAGGGGCUUAGAGAUUACUCUUCUACUUAACUAGGCAGGCCUAGGCCUAUAUGCUAAAGCAACCCUGCUAUUACGCCUAGUUUUGUGGUUAGCACCUAAAGUCCUACUAUUAAAGUUUUAGUAGUGGGCAAAAUUUAGGGUCUGUGGAUAGCUAGCACUGCUAAACUAUUUAACAGAUCUUAGGGGACAGCCCUGCCUAGCAUCCGCUCCUAGUAAGCGUGGCAAAGUGUAGGUUUUCUCUACUUAAGGCAUGUAUAUGGCGAGUUUAAACACGCAGAAACGCCUGUUAGGCUUCGUUGCGGACCAUUCCUUAAGAAACUUAGUAGGGGCAAUUAAAUUAGUUGCUAGUUGUAACUAGUGCCUUGUGUGCUAUUAUGCUAGUAGCUAGAAUUGCUUCUGCGAUUUCUUAUCACGUACUUUCUGCCUCCUUUUAGGGGUAGUGCUUGUGCGCUUCGGCGUAUUAGGCAUUAGGAUUGUUACCUAGUUAAUUCUGCUAGUAGUUAUAUACUUGU
rnacentral:rRNA from 1 species